GCUCUUCUUGGAUGAGUUGCGAACGGGUGAGUAACGCGUAGGUAACCUGCCUUGUAGCGGGGGAUAACUAUUGGAAACGAUAGCUAAUACCGCAUAACAAUGGAUGACACAUGUCAUUUAUUUGAAAGGGGCAAUUGCUCCACUACAAGAUGGACCUGCGUUGUAUUAGCUAGUAGGUGAGGUAAUGGCUCACCUAGGCGACGAUACAUAGCCGACCUGAGAGGGUGAUCGGCCACACUGGGACUGAGACACGGCCCAGACUCCUACGGGAGGCAGCAGUAGGGAAUCUUCGGCAAUGGGGGCAACCCUGACCGAGCAACGCCGCGUGAGUGAAGAAGGUUUUCGGAUCGUAAAGCUCUGUUGUAAGUCAAGAACGGGUGUGAGAGUGGAAAGUUCACACUGUGACGGUAGCUUACCAGAAAGGGACGGCUAACUACGUGCCAGCAGCCGCGGUAAUACGUAGGUCCCGAGCGUUGUCCGGAUUUAUUGGGCGUAAAGCGAGCGCAGGCGGUUUGAUAAGUCUGAAG
rnacentral:rRNA from 1 species